rnacentral:misc_RNA from 1 species
AUUUGUGAAACACUUAAUAUAGCAAAGUGGUUAAGGAUUUGCUUUAAAAUAGACUAUCCAUGGGUCCAAAUUUGUGACAUUGUAGUGAGACUCAGGCCAAAUACCAUUAGCAGGAUGGUCCUUUGGACAAUGCCGAAUCUGAGAACUGUCAAGAUUAAUACCGAUGAGAGCUAUGAUAUAUGAUAAGGCAGGGAAUGGGGGGAUAGCCAGAGGUUGCAAUGGGGAUUUCGUUUUUGCUUUUGCUUUUCCUGUACAAUGCCAAAAUCAAUGGGGGAUAGCCAGAAACAUGUUCCCUAUCAGUGGUUUGAUCUCCAUUCGUAAUUGGACAAUAUACUAUUAUUCAUAAGAAACACUUGGUUCAACAAAAAAACAUCGAUUCUGACAAAAUCAUGCCUCCAAUUUUACAUCCAUGU